UUCGCAGGCGGAAUAUUAAGUCAGUGGUGAAAUCCCAGAGCUCAACUCUGGAACUGCCAUUGAAACUGGUAUUCUUGAAUAUAGUUGAGGUAGGCGGAAUGUGUAAUGUAGCGGUGAAAUGCUUAGAUAUUACACAGAACACCGAUUGCGAAGGCAGCUUACUAAGCUAUGAUUGACGCUGAGGUACGAAAGCGUGGGGAGCGAACAGGAUUAGAUACCCUGGUAGUC
rnacentral:rRNA from 1 species